rnacentral:rRNA from 1 species
AUUGAACGCUGGCGGCAGGCCUAACACAUGCAAGUCGAACGGUAACAGGAAGAAGCUUGCUUCUUUGCUGACGAGUGGCGGACGGGUGAGUAAUGUCUGGGAAACUGCCUGAUGGAGGGGGAUAACUACUGGAAACGGUAGCUAAUACCGCAUAAUGUCGCAAGACCAAAGAGGGGGACCUUCGGGCCUCUUGCCAUCGGAUGUGCCCAGAUGGGAUUAGCUAGUAGGUGGGGUAACGGCUCACCUCGGCGACGAUCCCUAGCUGGUCUGAGAGGAUGACCAGCCACACUGGAACUGAGACACGGUCCAGACUCCUACGGGAGGCAGCAGUGGGGAAUAUUGCACAAUGGGCGCAAGCCUGAUGCAGCUAUGCCGCGUGUAUGAAGAAGGCCUUCGGGUUGUAAAGUACUUUCAGCGGGGAGGAAGGGAGUAAAGUUAAUACCUUUGCUCAUUGACGUUACCCGCAGAAGAAGCACCGGCUAACUCCGUG